rnacentral:lncRNA from 1 species
AAUCUGCCUUUUUACAUAAAGAAUAUAGCAGAGGAAGCAGUCAGAUAUGCAUUCAUCUCAGGCGAGACUCAGAGGGAUGAUUUUGAGUUCUGUCUGUCCGUUGUCCACAAAUGGGAUAAUCACUCUAUGAUUUCCUUCUUAUGCAUGUUAAUAAGUGCAUAUGCCUUUGCUCCUAUUAACCUGCCCCUUGAGCUCUUGCUCCUGCCUACCAUCCUGCUUCUAGGCUGGUGCAUCUGCAGCUGUUUUGUCACUAGAAGAAGACAGCUUGCCUAAGAACAAAAUCAAUCAAGCCAAAGCCAAAAAGCAAGAGAGAAGAGAAAUCAAGUCCUGACCAUUUCAUUUGAACUCAUAGAUUGAACCAUGCAUGAAGCUAAAACUACCUCUACAUGAAGCUAAAACCAUUCAUGAAACUAAACCGUGCACACAUGAAACUAUGUAUAAGGCUUAUUACGAAGCUAGUGUCCAGAAUUUUUAACAGUCCUGGUCUUGCUC